GACGAACGCUGGCGGCGUGCUUAACACAUGCAAGUCGAACGGAAAGGCUCCAGCUUGCUGGAGUACUCGAGUGGCGAACGGGUGAGUAACACGUGGGUAAUCUGCCCUGCACUCUGGGAUAAGCCUGGGAAACUGGGUCUAAUACUGGAUAUGACCUUUCUCCUUAUGGGGUUUGGUGGAAAGUUUUUCGGUGUAGGAUGAGCCCGCGGCCUAUCAGCUUGUUGGUGGGGUGAUGGCCUACCAAGGCGACGACGGGUAGCCGGCCUGAGAGGGUGAUCGGCCACAUUGGGACUGAGAUACGGCCCAGACUCCUACGGGAGGCAGCAGUGGGGAAUAUUGCACAAUGGGCGGAAGCCUGAUGCAGCGACGCCGCGUGAGGGGUGACGGCCUUCGGGUUGUAAACCUCUUUCAGCAGGGACGAAGCGUAAGUGACGGUACCUGCAGAAGAAGCACCGGCUAACUAUGUG
rnacentral:rRNA from 1 species